UACAGAGGGUGCAAGCGUUGUUCGGAAUUAUUGGGCGUAAAGCGCGUGUAGGCGGCUUGGCAAGUCGGGUGUGAAAUCCCUCAGCUCAACUGAGGAAGUGCGCCCGAAACUGCUUAGCUUGAGUGCCGGAGAGGAUGGCGGAAUUCCCCAAGUAGAGGUGAAAUUCGUAGAUAUGGGGGAGGAACACCGGUGGCGAAGGCGGCCAUCUGGACGGUAACUGACGCAUGAGA
rnacentral:rRNA from 1 species